rnacentral:rRNA from 1 species
GAUGAACGCUAGCUACAGGCUUAACACAUGCAAGUCGAGGGGAAACGAUGAGAGAGCUUGCUCUCUUAGGCGUCGACCGGCGCACGGGUGAGUAACGCGUAUCCAACCUACCCAUUACAGGGGGAUAACCUUGCGAAAGUAAGACUAAUACCCCAUGGCAUUUUAUGGUGGCAUCAUUAUAGGAUUAAAGAUUUAUUGGUAAUGGAUGGGGAUGCGUCUGAUUAGCUUGUUGGCGGGGUAACGGCCCACCAAGGCAACGAUCAGUAGGGGUUCUGAGAGGAAGGUCCCCCACAUUGGAACUGAGACACGGUCCAAACGCCUACGGGAGGAAGCAGUGAGGAAUAUUGGUCAAUGAGCGAGAGCUUGAACCAGCCAAGUAGCGUGCAGGAGGACGGCGCUAUGGGUUGUAAACUGCUUUUAUAGGGGAAUAAAGUGAGCUACGUGUAGUUUAUUGCAUGUACCCGAUGAAUAAGGACCGGCUAAUUCCGUG